ACUUAUAUGUGGAAUCAAGAAAAAAAGGUCAAAUAUAUAGAGAUAGAGAAUAAAACAGUAAUUACCAAAGUCAAGAUAACAUGGAGGAAAGGAGAUGUAAGU